CCGGGCCGGGAGAUCUCCCGACGCUACACACGGCCAGGACCGCCAGAAACCGUCUGAUGACCAUUCUGCUGAUGACGGGACGCAGAACUCGGCAAAAGCCACAAGCUGAUCAGAAACUGGACUUUCAAGACGGCCAGACAACACCGCCACGAAGCGCCAUGCCUCCUGAAGGCCUGGCACCGGCUGCGCUAUUACCGCGACCAGGAGAGGCCUCUCCUGCUGGCGGUCGGCAGUGGCGCCCCUUCUGAGGACAGCGGCCGACUGUUCAUCAAUCAGGGAGGCUCAGCCAUUGACUCGAGCAAUGCGGCUAAGAUCUUCAGAACGGUGUGGCUGGAGGCCAUGGGGGAGAAUGCCGACGUGCCAGCCCUGACGUCUCGCGGCAUCCGCUACGGAACUGUGAUCGGCCUUGCGCCGACGUCAGAGAACCAGGAGUAUGUACGUAGCGGCGUCGAUGGCGCACUCCCGAGACACCCAACUAUACGUGUACGAUGUGCACGGCGGGGUCGGCGUGUCUGCGAGGCUGCGAGGGCACGACGCCAUCAUAAGAAAGCGGCAGCGGCUCGUCGCUGGAGACAGCAGCGGCAGCAGCAGUGACUCCGAGUUCCGAAUGGGAGCAGCCCGAACACGCCACCACCGCCGAUUCCUCCGCUGCCGCUG